CCUACGGGUGGCAGCAGUGAGGAAUAUUGGUCAAUGGACGAGAGUCUGAACCAGCCAAGUAGCGUGAAGGAUGACUGCCCUAUGGGUUGUAAACUUCUUUUAUAUGGGAAUAAAAUGUUCCACGUGUGGGAUUUUGUAUGUACCAUAUGAAUAAGGAUCGGCUAACUCCGUGCCAGCAGCCGCGGUAAUACGGAGGAUCCGAGCGUUAUCCGGAUUUAUUGGGUUUAAAGGGGGCGUAGGGGGGUUGUUAAGUCAGUUGUGAAAGUUUGGGGGUCAACCGUAAAAUUGCAGUUGAAACUGGCAGUCUUGAGUACAGUAGAGGUGGGCGGAAUGCGUGGUGUAGCGGUGAAAUGCUUAGAUAUCACGAAGAACUCCGAUUGCGAAGGCAGUUCACUGGACUGCAACUGACGCUGAGGCUCGAAAGUGUGGGUAUCAAACAGGAUUAGAUACCCUUGUAGUC
rnacentral:rRNA from 1 species